AACGCACAUUGCGCCCCUUGGUAUUCCGAGGGGCAUGCCUGUUCGAGCGUCAUUUCAACCCUCAAGCACAGCUUGGUCUUGGGCUUCGCCGCUAACCCGGCGGGUCUUAAAAUCAGUGGCGGUGCCGUCGGGCCCUGAGCGCAGUAAUCUCUCUCGCUAUAGGGUCCCGGCGGAUGCUGGCCAGUAACCCCCAAUUUUCUAUGGUUGACCUCGGAUCAGGUAGGGAUACCCGCUGAACUUAA
rnacentral:misc_RNA from 2 species